UAGCGAAGCUCUUGAUCGAAGCCCGAGUAAACGGCGGCCGUAACUAUAACGGUCCUAAGGUAGCGAAUUUCCUUGUCGGUUAACUCCCGACCUGCAUGAAUGGCGUAACGAGAUGGGAGCUGUCUCAAAGAGGGAUCCAGUGAAAUUGUAGUGGAGGUGAAAAUUCCUCCUACCCGCGGCAAGACGGAAAGACCCCGUGGACCUUUACUACAGCUUGACACUGCUACUUGGAUAAGAAUGUGCAGGAUAGGUGGGAGGCUUUGAGUAUAUGACGCCAGUUGUAUAUGAGCCAUUGUUGAGAUACCACUCUUUCUUAUUUGGGUAGCUAACCAGCUUGAGUUAUCCUCAAGUGGGACAAUGUCUGGUGGGUAGUUUGACUGGGGCGGUCGCCUCCCAAAUAAUAACGGAGGCUUACAAAGGUUGGCUCAGAACGGUUGGAAAUCG
rnacentral:rRNA from 1 species